UUCGUUGUCGUCGAAACCUGCUU
rnacentral:miRNA from 1 species